rnacentral:lncRNA from 1 species
UAGUUUAGAUUUCAAUGAGAUUCCAAACCAGAGAUAACACUAUAAGCACAGUACACAGAUUAAACAUGAUUAUUUAUGCUCCAACGACUUCGGUUUCUCCUUCUACCAUUGUUUCCUCAAUUGGUCUCUCGAGCUUCACACCAACAUCCUCAGAGUAGUCACCAUGAACCUAUACAGAAAACAUCACAGAAUCAUUACACCAAGACCAAGUCACCAAUAUCUUAGCAAAUUAGUAAUUAGAAUUUUACAGACUAUCAUGGAGCACAUACCUCCAUCAAUUUGCCAAUAUCAAAUUUAGGUGCUUUCAGGAUCUUGACUUUGCGGAUAAAGACAUUUUGGAGAGGGAAGAUGCUCGAAGUUGCUUUCUCAAUCUCUCGGCCAAUAGAUUCAGGGAUAAACUUAGCCACCAGCUCCUUAAGAUCACAAGAGCU